rnacentral:rRNA from 1 species
CAGCAGCCGCGGUAAUACGUAAGGACCGAGCGUUGUCCGGAAUCAUUGGGCGUAAAGGGUACGUAGGCGGCUAGAAAAGUUAGAAGUCAAAGGCUAUAGCUCAACUAUAGUAAGCUUCUAAAACUAUUUAGCUUGAGAGAUGGAAGGGAAAGUGGAAUUCCUAGUGUAGCGGUGGAAUGCGCAGAUAUUAGGAGGAAUACCGGUGGCGAAGGCGACUUUCUGGCCAUUUUCUGACGCUGAGGUACGAAAGCGUGGGUAGCAAACAGGAUUAGAUACCCUGGUAGUCCACGCCGUAAACGAUGAGUGUUAGGUGUCUGGAGUCAAAUCUGGGUGCCGCAGCAAACGCAUUAAACACUCCGCCUGGGGAGUACGCACGCAAGUGUGAAACUCAAAGGAAUUGACGGGGACCCGCACAAGCAGCGGAGCAUGUGGUUUAAUUCGACGCAACGCGAAGAACCUUACCAAGUCUUGACAUAUUUUAGAAGCAAUUAGAGAUAGUUGCCUAUAUCUUCGGAUAACUAAAAUACAGGUGGUGCAUGGUUGUCGUCAGCUCGUGUCGUGAGAUGUUGGGUUAAGUCCCAUAACGAGCGCAACCCCUAUUGCUAGUUACCAUCAUUAAGUUGGGGACUCUAGUAAUACUGCCGGUGACAAACCGGAGGAAGGUGGGGAUGACGUCAAAUCAUCAUGCCCUUUAUGACUUGGGCUACACACGUGCUACAAUGGCAGGUACACAGGGAAGCAAGACUGUGAAGUUAAGCAAAACUCAAAAAACCUGUCCCAGUUCGGAUUGCACUCUGCAACUCGAGUGCAUGAAGUUGGAGUUGCUAGUAAUCGCAGAUCAGAAUGCUGCGGUGAAUGCGUUCCCGGGUCUUGUACACACCGCCCGUCACACCAUGGAAGUUGGCAAUACCCGAAGCCUGUGAGCGAACCCUUUGGGGCGCAGCAGUCGAAGGUAGGGUCAGUAACUGGGGUGAAGUCGUAACAAGGUAGCCGU